rnacentral:rRNA from 1 species
GAUGAACGCUGGCGGCGUGCCUAAUACAUGCAAGUCGAGCGAACAGACGAGGAGCUUGCUCCUCUGACGUUAGCGGCGGACGGGUGAGUAAAACGUGGAUAACCUACCUAUAAGACUGGGAUAACUUCGGGAAACCGGAGCUAAUACCGGAUAAUAUAUUGAACCGCAUGGUUCAAUAGUGAAAGACGGUUUUGCUGUCACUUAUAGAUGGAUCCGCGCCGCAUUAGCUAGUUGGUAAGGUAACGGCUUACCAAGGCGACGAUGCGUAGCCGACCUGAGAGGGUGAUCGGCCACACUGGAACUGAGACACGGUCCAGACUCCUACGGGAGGCAGCAGUAGGGAAUCUUCCGCAAUGGGCGAAAGCUUGACGGAGCAACGCCGCGUGAGUGAUGAAGGUCUUCGGAUCGUAAAACUCUGUUAUUAGGGAAGAACAAAUGUGUAAGUAACUAUGCACGUCUUGACGGUACCUAAUCAGAAAGCCACGGCUAACUACGUG